CAGUCGCCGCGGUAAUACGUAGGGUGCAAGCGUUAAUCGGAAUUACUGGGCGUAAAGCGUGCGCAGGCGGUUUGUUAAGACAGAUGUGAAAUCCCCGGGCUCAACCUGGGAACUGCAUUUGUGACUGGCAAGCUAGAGUAUGGCAGAGGGGGGUGGAAUUCCGCGUGUAGCAGUGAAAUGCGUAGAUAUGCGGAGGAACACCGAUGGCGAAGGCAGCCCCCCGGGCCAAUACUGACGCUCAUGCACGAAAGCGUGGGGAGCAAACAGGAUUAGAUACCCCAGUAGUCCCUGUCUCUUAUAC
rnacentral:rRNA from 1 species